AGAGUUUGAUCCUGGCUCAGAUUGAACGCUGGCGGCAGGCCUAACACAUGCAAGUCGAGCGGAUGAGAAGAGCUUGCUCUUCGAUUCAGCGGCGGACGGGUGAGUAAUGCCUAGGAAUCUGCCUGGUAGUGGGGGACAACGUUUCGAAAGGAACGCUAAUACCGCAUACGUCCUACGGGAGAAAGCAGGGGACCUUCGGGCCUUGCGCUAUCAGAUGAGCCUAGGUCGGAUUAGCUAGUUGGUGAGGUAAUGGCUCACCAAGGCGACGAUCCGUAACUGGUCUGAGAGGAUGAUCAGUCACACUGGAACUGAGACACGGUCCAGACUCCUACGGGAGGCAGCAGUGGGGAAUAUUGGACAAUGGGCGAAAGCCUGAUCCAGCCAUGCCGCGUGUGUGAAGAAGGUCUUCGGAUUGUAAAGCACUUUAAGUUGGGAGGAAGGGCAUUAACCUAAUACGUUAGUGUUUUGACGUUACCGACAGAAUAAGCACCGGCUAACUCUGUGCCAGCAGCCGCGGUAAUAC
rnacentral:rRNA from 4 species